rnacentral:rRNA from 1 species
CAACCGUAGUAAGCUCUUGAAACUGGGAGACUUGAGUGCAGGAGAGGAGAGUGGAAUUCCUAGUGUAGCGGUGAAAUGCGUAGAUAUUAGGAGGAACACCAGUUGCGAAGGCGGCUCCCUGGACUGUAACUGACGCUGAGGCACGAAAGCGUGGGGAGCAAACAGGAUUAGAUACCCUGGUAGUCCACGCUGUAAACGAUGAGUACUAGGUGUCGGGGGUUACCCCC